rnacentral:tRNA from 1 species
UCCGAGGAGGAGCUGGGGUGGUUUCAGCGCGGGUCUCAUAAGCCCGAUACGUGGGUUCGACUCCCACCCUCGGUACCA